rnacentral:pre_miRNA from 1 species
UUAGUACUCCCUCCGUUCGGAAUUACUUGUCUCGGAAAUGGAUGUAUCUAGAACUAAAUACGUCUAGAUACAUCCAUUCUCGCGACAAGUAAUUUCGAACAGAGGGAGUAUCUU